AUUGAACGCUGGCGGCAGGCCUAACACAUGCAAGUCGAGCGCGCGGCGGACGGGUGAGAAAUGUCUGGGAAACCGCCUGAUGGAGGGGGAACACCACUGGAAAGGGGAUCUAACACCGUAAACCACCAUAUGCGCCCAGAGGGGAUUAGCUAGUAGGUGGGGUAACGGCUCACAUAGGCGACGAUCCCUAGCUGGUCUGAGAGGAUGACCAGCAACACUGGAACUGAGACACGGUCCAGACUCCUACGGGAGGCAGCAGUGGGGAAUAUUGCACAAUGGGCGCAAGCCUGAUGCAGCCAUGCCGCGUGUGUGAAGAAGGCCUUCGGGUUGUAAAGUACUUUCAGCGGGGAGGCGUUACCCGCAGAAGAAGCACCGGCUAACUCCGUGCCAGCAGCCGCGGUAAUUC
rnacentral:rRNA from 1 species